rnacentral:rRNA from 1 species
CCUACGGGGGGCAGCAGUGAGGAAUAUUGGUCAAUGGGCGGAAGCCUGAACCAGCCAAGUCGCGUGGGGGAAGAAGGUACUGCGUAUUGUAAACCUCUUUUGCCAGGGGACAAAGGCGGCAACGGGUGGCCGUAAGAGGGUACCUGGAGAAAAAGCAUCGGCUAACUCCGUGCCAGCAGCCGCGGUAAUACGGAGGAUGCAGGCGUUAUCCGGAUUUAUGGGGUUAAAAGGGUGCGCAGGCGGCGUGUCACGUCAGCGGUAAAAUGUCGGGGCUCACCCGCGGCCGGCCGUUGAGACUGGAGUGCUAGAGUUGGAGAGAAGUAUGCGGAAUUCGUGGUGUAGCGGUGAAAUGCAUAGAUAUCACGAAGAACCCAGAUUGCGAAGGCAGGAUACCGGCUACACACUGACGCUGAGGCACGAAAGCGUGGGUAUCGAACAGGAUUAGAUACCCGUGUAGUC